rnacentral:rRNA from 1 species
CGAACGGGUGAGUAACGCGUAGGCAACCUGCCCUUUAGUGGGGAAUAACCCCGGGAAACCGGAGCUAAUACCGCAUAAUAUCCUGGUACCGCAUGGCACCGGGAUCAAAGCCUUCGGGCGCUAUUGGAUGGGCCUGCGUCGGAUUAGGUAGUUGGUGAGGUAGAAGCUCACCAAGCCAACGAUCCGUAGCUGGUCUGAGAGGAUGAUCAGCCACACUGGCACUGAGACACGGGCCAG